rnacentral:rRNA from 1 species
GAUGAACGCUGGCGGCGUGCCUAAUACAUGCAAGUCGAGCGAACAGAUGCGGCGCUUGCUCCUCUGACGUUAGCGGCGGACGGGUGAGUAACACGUGGAUACCCUCCCUAUGAGAAUGGGAUCACUUCGGGAAACCGGAGCUAAUACGGGCUAAUAUAUUGAACCGCAUGGUUCAAUAGUGAAAGACGGUUUUGCUGUCACUUAUAGAUGGAUCGGGGCCGGAUUAGCUAGUUGGUAAGGUAACGGCUUACCAAGGCGACGAUGCGUAGCCGACCUGAGAGGAUGAUCGGCCACACUGGAACUGAGACACGGUCCAGACUCCUACGGGAGGCAGCAGUAGGGAAUCUUCGGCAAUGGGCGAAAGCCUGACGGAGCAACGCCGCGUGAGUGAUGAAGGUCUUCGGAUCGUAAACUGCUUUUAUUAGGGAAGAACAGGUGUUGGUGAAUAUAUGGGGGUAUUGACGGUACCGAAAGAAAAAGCAACGGCUAACUACGUG